CCCUUAGAUGUCCUGGGCUGCACGCGCGCUACACUGAUGUGUCCAGUAAGCACCUAACCUCUUCCGAAAGGAACGGGUAACCUUUGCAAAGCACAUCGUGAUGGGGAUAGAUUAUUGCAAUUAUUAGUCUUGAACGAGGAAUUCCUAGUAAGCACAAGUCAUCAGCUUGUGUUGAUUACGUCCCUGCCUUUGUACACACCGCCCGUCGCUCCUACCGAUUGAAUGUUCCGGUGAGCUCUUCGGACUGCGCGGUCUGCAGUUUCUGCGUUCCGUGCGGAAAGUUGCGCAAACCUUAACAUUUAGAGGAAGGAGAAGUCGUAACA
rnacentral:rRNA from 1 species